rnacentral:rRNA from 1 species
AGCGAACGCUGGCGGCAGGCCUAACACAUGCAAGUCGAACGAACUCUUCGGAGUUAGUGGCGGACGGGUGAGUAACACGUGGGAACGUGCCUUUAGGUUCGGAAUAACUCAGGGAAACUUGUGCUAAUACCGAAUGUGCCCUUCGGGGGAAAGAUUUAUCGCCUUUAGAGCGGCCCGCGUCUGAUUAGCUAGUUGGUGAGGUAAUGGCUCACCAAGGCUACGAUCAGUAGCUGGUCUGAGAGGAUGGCCAGCCACAUUGGGACUGAGACACGGCCCAAACUCCUACGGGAGGCAGCAGUGGGGAAUCUUGCGCAAUGGGCGAAAGCCUGACGCAGCCAUGCCGCGUGAAUGAUGAAGGUCUUAGGAUUGUAAAAUUCUUUCACCGGGGACGAUAAUGACGGUACCCGGAGAAGAAGCCCCGGCUAACUUCGUGCCAGCCGCCGCGGUAAAAC